UCCCUGGUGGCACAAAUAUUUAAGCAUUCAACUACUAGUUGAAAGGCUGAUGGUUCAAAUCCAUCCAGAGGUG
rnacentral:tRNA from 1 species